UGCGUGUUUUCGUGCACACACCAAUAAUAAUAUGCGGUCACGUGCCAUCCAUCAGGUCGACAUCAUCACUGCUAUCCACUUGCAGCACUAUUUUCUAUCUAUUAUAUACAAUGUUGGACUAGACCAUCAGGCAAUAUCUUUAGUUAAGCCACCAAAAAAAUUUAGACAAAUCUGGUAAUUAAAAGUUGGAUCAAUAAUUAACUGGAGUGAGCGACUAAUCAAGUCUAAUACAACACAUAAUGAGCCCAAAGUUAUUAUGAUUUCCAGAAAAAUU